CGGUCCUAAGGUAGCGAAAUUCCUUGUCGGGUAAGUUCCGACCUGCACGAAUGGCGUAAUGAUGGCCAGGCUGUCUCCACCCGAGACUCAGUGAAAUUGAACUCGCUGUGAAGAUGCAGUGUACCCGCGGCAAGACGGAAAGACCCCGUGAACCUUUACUAUAGCUUGACACUGAACAUUGAGCCUUGAUGUGUAGGAUAGGUGGGAGGCUUUGAAGUGUGGACGCCAGUCUGCAUGGAGCCGACCUUGAAAUACCACCCUUUAAUGUUUGAUGUUCUAACGUGGACCCGUAAUCCGGGUUGCGGACAGUGUCUGGUGGGUAGUUUGACUGGGGCGGUCUCCUCCUAAAGAGUAACGGAGGAGCACGAAGGUUGGCUAAUCCUGGUCGGACAUCAGGAGGUUAGUGCAAUGGCAUAAGCCAGCUUGACUGCGAGCGUGACGGCGCGAGCAGGUGCGAAAGCAGGUCAUAGUGAUCCGGUGGUUCUGAAUGGAAGGGCCAUCGCUCAACGGAUAAAAGGUACUCCGGGGAUAACAGGCUGAUACCGCCCAAGAGUUCAUAUCGACGGCGGUGUUUGGCACCUCGAUGUCGGCUCAUCACAUCCUGGGGCUGAAGUAGGUCCCAAGGGUAUGGCUGUUCGCCAUUUAAAGUGGUACGCGAGCUGGGUUUAGAACGUCGUGAGACAGUUCGGUCCCUAUCUGCCGUGGGCGCUGGAGAACUGAGGGGGGCUGCUCCUAGUACGAGAGGACCGGAGUGGACGCAUCACUGGUGUUCGGGUUGUCAUGCCAAUGGCACUGCCCGGUAGCUAAAUGCGGAAGAGAUAAGUGCUGAAAGCAUCUAAGCACGAAACUUGCCCCGAGAUGAGUUCUCCCUGAGACUUAGAGUCUCCUGAAGGAACGUUGAAGACGACGACGUUGAUAGGCCGGGUGUGUAAGCGCAGCGAUGCGUUGAGCUAACCGGUACUAAUGAACCGUGAGGCUUAACCUU
rnacentral:rRNA from 2 species